UGCGCAGCUACCAUGCAAGUCGAGCGGAGAUGAGGUGCUUGCACCUUAUCUUAGCGGCGGACGGGUGAGUAAUGCUUAGGAAUCUGCCUAUUAGUGGGGGACAACAUUCCGAAAGGAAUGCUAAUACCGCAUACGUCCUACGGGAGAAAGCAGGGGAUCUUCGGACCUUGCGCUAAUAGAUGAGCCUAAGUCGGAUUAGCUAGUUGGUGGGGUAAAGGCCUACCAAGGCGACCAUCUGUAGCGGGUCUGAGAGGAUGAUCCGCCACACCGGGACUGAGACACGGCCCAGACUCCUACGGGAGGCAGCAGUGGGGAAUAUAGGACAAAGGGGGGAACCCUGAUCCAGCCAUGCCGCGUGUGUGAAGAAGGCCUUAUGGUUGUAAAGCACUUUAAGCGAGGAGGAGGCUACUGAGACUAAUACUCUUGGAUAGUGGACGUUACUCGCAGAAUAAGCACCGGCUAACUCUGUGCCAGCAGCCGCGGUAAUACAGAGGGUGCGAGCGUUAAUCGGAUUUACUGGGCGUAAAGCGUGCGUAGGCGGCUUUUUAAGUCGGAUGUGAAAUCCCCGAGCUUAACUUGGGAAUUGCAUUCGAUACUGGGAAGCUAGAGUAUGGGAGAGGAUGGUAGAAUUCCAGGUGUAGCGGUGAAAUGCGUAGAGAUCUGGAGGAAUACCGAUGGCGAAGGCAGCCAUCUGGCCUAAUACUGACGCUGAGGUACGAAAGCAUGGGGAGCAAACAGGAUUAGAUACCCUGGUAGUCCAUGCCGUAAACGAUGUCUACUAGCCG
rnacentral:rRNA from 1 species